rnacentral:rRNA from 1 species
AUGAGGUACUAUUUUGUGGAAAAUCUCAUAUACCCCGAGUCCUACUUUCGACGUCGUUUUAGGAUGAGCAUCAAGUUGUUUAAACACAUUGCGAAGAAACUGGCAAGCCAUGAUCGGUUUCUUCAGCAAAGGAGAAAUGCUGUCGGAGAACUCGGGCAUAACACCUUUCAGAAGGUGACAGCCGCCUUGCGUAUGUUGGCAUACGGUAUUCCGGUGAAUCUAGUUGAUGACCACUUGGCCAUGGGUGAGAGUCAAGUCAUCAUGUGUGUCAUGCGCUUCACAGUCAGAAUUGUACAAGUGUUUGGUCCGGAAUAUUUGAGAGCUCACAAUGUUGAAGACACUUGUCAGGACCCCGACUCGAUGUCACAUCGAUCUAGCUGGUAA